UGGUUGCUGAGAAAGGGUUCCAGUGUGGACAGUGAUGAGGAGGAGCUCUAUGCAGCAGGAAACAUGGUCAUAGGGAGCAAGAGUCAAGCUUCCCGUGUUUACAAGGCUUUCACUGUGGGCAGUCCAGUACUACAGGUGGCAGUGCUCUCCCCUGUAUCAGAGCUGAGGGACUCCACCAAGCACCACGAGCCCUCCUGUCUGGGUGACUACAUCUUCCAAGUCUGUUCCCUACAUCCACGCCCUCUGAGACCCCUUCAGCAGCAGUGUCACCCUGCUGGACCCCUUUGCCCCGCUCUUCCCCCCACAUCCCAGCCCUGUAUUUGCUGAAGAUGGACGAGGAGCGGGGACGACGACGACGAUCACUGCUGGGCCUCCUGCAACAGCUGGCCAGCCCAGAUGCUGCGCCCGUGCUUCCUGAGGGUGGCACCUCCGUGUGUUCAGCUGGUUCAGCAGCUGUCUGGAUGGUGAGGAGGUAGCACCUACCUGCCCGGCAUCUGUGAGAGGGCCAAACUACUGGUGCUGAGCUACGCCCUGUACAUGAUUGGAAAUGGCAAUGCCACUUCAGUUGAUGUUUUGAAGUAUCUAGCCAAGCUCUCCAGCCCUCACGUGGCAUCUCGCUCUCACAGGCCAGAAGAAAACUAAUUGCAGCAGCUUUGAGACAUAGCAGUAGCAGCCUGAUGCUCCAAAUGAAAGUUUGGCUGAAAAGAUUGUUGUUUGGCUAACAUCAGCAGGUUUCACAUUGAAAGACCUUGAAUCCAUGCUCUUUGGUGUGGCUCUGCCCAUCUGCCUGUUGAUUGGGUGAAAGGACCUCACCAAGAAAGCACUCAAAGUUACCGUGGCCAAAGGCAAAGCUGUACGUGGGAGUUUGGGGGGUUAUUGGAUAGUUUGGGCUUCAUCUUUACAACCUUGUGGAUUUGUAGUUAAUGUUUGUCUGUUUUGUGUGUGUGCGGUCCGGGGCUGAUGCUGGAGGCUCCAGCCACCACAGAGGCAGACGAUAAGGAGGUUGGUAUGAGUGAUCUGAACCAGGAUGUGAUUGGUCUCAUCUGGGGCCAGGAGCUGCAUGUCCUGGAGGCCAGACGUCUCCUCCAGAGCUCCCGACCAGUCAGGCUCAGCAUGGUCCACCUGGCCGAGGUCAGCGACAUAGAGGAGAAGGAGAACAAACUGCCGCAGCUGUGCCAGAGUUCCAUGGUUCUGCCAGUGGGCAGAGGCCUGUUCACUCUCUUCUCCAACCACCCUGUGUCAACAGAGCCCCUACCUGUGCCUAAACUCAACCUUACUGAUCAGAACAGCGGGAACAUUGACCUUCCUCCCAACAUGACGAGCUGGUCCAGCUUUCACAACGGGGUGUCUGCAGGCCUGAAGAUCGCCCCGGGCCUCCCAGGUGGACUCUGCCUGCAUCGCCGACAACAAUCCCAAGAGCCCUGAUCAGGCUAACGAGUACGCAGGCUUCUUCAUGUCUCUGGGCCUCAACGGACACCUCAGCAAGAUGGCCACACUCAACAUACAUGACUACAUCACCGAGGCACAAAACCAUGGUCUAACAGAAUACUAUGACCAGAGACUUAAGAAUGUCCCAAGUGUGGGGGUUUCUGGUCAUCAACGUGGACAUCACCUGUUCCAAGAGCGACCCUGGCUAUGAUCUACCUGAAGACCAACAACAGGUUUAUCGCAGGUUGGCUGAAAGCUCCAGACACCAUGUUCCUCCUGGACUGCACUCUGGACACUGGCUAGGUGUAUCAUCAUGUGGGAUGAGAUUCUGCCCAACUCGAAAGCAGCAAUAUGCCUCCGGCAAGCCCAUGACCACAUAAUUGCUGGAACCUGAAUGACUGUGGGAUUCCACUUCGCUGGCUCGGCCAACUCUGACGCAUUCGACUGCUUGUAAAGUUUCGCAAGGAACUUCAUGCAGUGUUUGACAUCAGCAACGGCUGUGACCUGAAGGUGCUGGAGCUCUGCCGCGUCCCUUAGAAGAGGACCAGAACUAUGACCCACCACAUGGCCCUGGGAGGAGGGAGGUACACUCCAACUCGGCCAUCGCUACCUUGCCAUGUGCGCUCUACCACCAGUUUCCUGUCCACAGCACAGUUAACCGAGCAUAGGGGACUCUGUUAUGAGGAGAUUACAGCUGAACUGAUGCCCCCCACCAUGUUGCAUGAGCUGCAGAUCCUCAAUAAGGUCAAAUGAAAUGUAAUCAUGCUGCAAAGUCAUUCUGCUAAGCAGGAUGGUCCAUGUUAAAAUUGAGGUUUCUGUUAGAAAGUGAGUAAUGCAAUGUGUCCAUAUAUGCAAUUGAUACGUUUUUCUCCCUUCCUCUUUACAAUACAGUACAAAGAAGGGUCAGUUAGGAUGAUCAAACUCCGCUAUUUCAAGAAAAUCAUAGGAUCUUUUUCACAUUGUUUUCAAACUAAAUGUUCAAAGAUGAAAGACCUACUUGUUUUAAUGUGGUUACAGAUUCAAGUAAAAGGACCAUUGAUACUGGAAGCUGUCCAUAGACCUGAAGUAAAGGAACUCCACAUCUUGAGUCCAUUCUGUCCAGAGAUGGGGUUCUGUAUCUGAAGCUAGGGCCCUAUAAGGUCGACCUUCUGGACUGGAAGAAUCUAUUAUCCCCCGUCGUCGUCAACAGGAACUCAGAAGUCCGCACAUUCAAGCCAGAGGCCAUCUCGACCUUCCCCUCCGACGCUGCCUUGGUCUCCUUCGCUGAAUUCUUCUGUAAAGCCUUGGAUAGCAUGAGACACGUUGAUUAGCAGAGUGGAUGCUAUGUGAUGCAGCUGCAACUUAACGUUGUAACACAGAGCCAACAUUGAGGGUUUAAAUUAGACUUAAAUACUGCCUAUGUUGCUCCCCUUGUGAAUCCGUUUGUUAAUCACUUGAAUCGCAUUUCCACCAGGUAGAUAUCACUAUAUGUAAUUGGACAUGUGGAAUAUUUAUUUUUUAAUACACUGUGAAAUUGAAGGAGAUUGGUUCUAACCUUUAGCUCAUGAUUUGAUUGCAAUUAUUGAAACACCCCUCAAUGUCCUAUUUUAUAAUUCCACAGUUUCUGUUUCUGAUUGUUCAAUUGAUAAGCACUCACUGAAUGGAGCUUCUAUUUACUGUUGUUGCACUGAAUGGAGCUUCUAUUUACUGUUGUUGCACUGAAUGGAGCUUCUAUUUACUGUUGUUGCACUGAAUGGAGCUUCUAUUUUGUUGUCUUUGUCCAAAAACACAACACUUUGGCCUUGACACUCAGAUCGAAUAUCAGAGAUUGUCACUCAGGAGAACCCUGAGAUGCUGCCCACCUACAUUGCUAUUGAUCAGGUGUUACAGGGCAGGACACAGGGCAGGGUCCUGCAACACAGACUGAGACAGGGGGCAAAUGGAAGGGUCCUGCAACACAGACUGAGGCAGGGGGCAAAGGGCAGGGUCCUGCAACACAGACUGAGGCAGGGGGCAAAGGGCAGGGUCCUGCAACACAGACUGAGGCAGGGGGCACAGGGCAGGGUCCUGCAACACAGACUGAGGCAGGGGGCACAGGGCAGGGAGCUGCUGUUCAUCUGCCUGUCAUGAAGAACUCAGCCGAUGGCACCCUGGACUGUUGGCUCACUGGUGAGAGGUCUCAACCCAGUGGGAGGGGCACGUCUACUGGAGAAUGGACUGUUAACAGAUCCCUUUGAAUGAACUGUACAAUAAUAUAUUAGCCUGACCGUACAGUUUGUACCAGUGUGUACCUGUAAUGUGACACACAUUUCCCAUCAGUGGGACUGGACGUGUCAGAACCAGUCUUUGGGUGUGAACUGUAAUGACAUGGGAAACAUGGAACGUUAUGAAUGGCUUGGCAACAAUCGUUAGCAAACUGAUUAUGUGAUGCUGUUACAUGAAGAAUACUCAUAGGUCCAUCCAUGAAUGCAGCUAACCUCGUUGGAUCUGACGUGUGUGUGAACCCCACCUCCCCCCACACUCCACAGAUAACAGCCAUGUGUUGAGAACAUACAUAUGGCCAGUCCCUACUGAGGGGACAUGCUGUCCAACAUUCUAGCCUGCUUUCUGGUCUAACACUAUACCCUGCCUCAGGAAGAUGUCUGCCACACACCUGGAAGUUAAACAACUGUUAACUAAAUAUUGUGGUUAGAUGUACUUUUAGUUUGAUCCUAACAUCUGUCGCUUUGUUGGUGGUCUGUCUUAUUGCUGACUGGCUUCAUGUCUCGUGUGAAUGUUAUGACUGACUUGGUCGCAUUCAUCUCUUAACUCUGCUGGUCUCUCUCGUGUCGUUCCUCUGCUCAUCUUUCAUUUCCACAGGAAGUACAUCGUUCCCUGAGCUCCUGUUGAAGUUGUCAGCUGUGCAUCCCUGUACAAGCCUUGCUGCGCCUGGGCCCUCUCCUCAUGGGGACUGCAAGCUUCAGGACUGGACAAUAGGCCUGUUGAAAUUACCUGACCUUUGACCUCUAACCAUGGUCUCUUACUUUACCUUGGUCUUGACCCAGAAGGGUCCCUCUGCCUGCACUGCUUGUUGCAGCUCACAAGAAAUGGACCUGAUAUUAUAUUAAAUAUCAUUGUAAAAGCUUUCUUGAUACAGAUUGUAUGUCAAAUGUUUAUACCGUACCUGUAUUCCAUAUAAAUAAUGCAGUAAAUAAAAAGUGAUUUGAGACUUGUGUAAGUGACCUAGAAUUUAAAGGUAACUAUUAGCUAACAUAGUGGAUGUGGAUGAACAAUAACUUUCGGCAUUGCACAUUAUCACUAGUACCCACUUCCAUCUACAUGUUGUUUUGGCUAACUUUCGGUGUUGUGGUGUUGCCAUUUUGUAUUUUUAAACGACGAGCCGUUUCAACACAGCAUGCAGUCUAGGCUGCCAUCUCAGUUAUCGUUAUCUCAGAAAAGAUGUUCUGCUCUCUCACAUAUUAAUUAUGUUUCUGCGGUAUGUGUUGGGAGGUACUGCGUGGGCUGUGGCGCAACGGAAUGCAUCGGCCUGAGCUGUGAUCUAACACCUCUGGGAACAUUCCACAGCAAAAUGGAAAACAUCCUGCAACAGAUACCACACCCACCUCACCCCAUACCAAGCUCCGUUGAGUUCUAUUGGCCUUGUAUAUCCAAAUAGCUCUGUGUCCUCCACUUGACCAUGAAUGGUUACACAGGCCUUUAUCUGUGUCCCCAAUGGUAUACUGUCAGGCCCUAAAAUAACUAUUUAAGUGAACAGCUUUUUUGUGGCAUCUUUAGGACCAACUGACAUGAAAGGUACACACAGAUGUGGCAGAUGGAUUGCAAACAUACCACAUUCACUGGAAUGCUGUCAUGUGGUUGAGCGACAUUAGACAGACACGCACACACAGGAAAGUAUUUGAUUUUGCGAGGAGGGAGAACUGUCAAAGUUAACUUAGAAAGGUGGAGUGGUGCAAUUCUAAUGUGGCUAACUAACUAAUUCUCUGGUCGUUUUCUAUACAAUAUAAUUGAAUAGUGUUUUGGAACAUGGUGUAUCUGCUGUCAACAGCCAAGUGAAGUGAAUAACUGCAAGUUCUCUGGGGAGGUAGCAACCAGUUCCCAAGCUGGCACAAAGUGGCAGAAAUAACUAUUUUUUUCUGUAGGAAGCAUGACACUGCCAUUUGGUUUGUCCUUCUAUGGACAUCCAGGAAAUGUGUACAGAAUCCACAACUUCACAUUCAUGAUAUUUUACAGAUCAAUGGUCAACCGGAACUGUAUAGAGAGUGGGUGUAGAAGUAUUCAUCCGUUUAUGACCUUCAAAGCCGAUGCCUUUAAUAAGCUUGUGGGAGGGAGCGAGCGCUCCAGGGAGUGGGCUGCUUCCGCAAUAAAGCAUUCUAUGAAUGUCAUACUGGUACACACCCUCUGGUCCUGGAGGUUCCCAUGUCCUAAAUCAACAUUGAAACAAGACCAGUAUGUACAUUGAAAUAAGACAAAACAAACAAAUGAAAAAUGCUUCUUCAUCCUUAAUGUGUUUGUUUUUUGAAAGUUUCAUUAAAACAAUGUAUGCAGAAAGAGAAA